GGGGUCUGGAUUAGCAUGCAUGUCGUGAUAUGAGGUGACGGUCUCUCUGAAUCUGCGAACGGCUCCGCAAACCAGUUGCAAUACCUAGCACGCUCAGCCUUGGGGCCUCGGCUCCUCGGCACCGAUACGGAUAUCCCUGGUAAUUCUGGGGCUAAUACAUGGCUAACACGAACGCGUACGGCCCCACGGGGGCGGCCUCACGGCUGCCCUAUCCAACGUGCGGUGACCUGCGCGGGGCGCGUGAUACAAUACCAAGCUCGGGUAAAAAUCUAACAAUCGGGACAGAACGCACGCCCAGACCUGCACGCUUCACGGCAACUGGGGGAACUCACGACGGCGGCGGGCCCAGCUUCGCGCUCGGGCUUUUGACCGUCCUGACGGGGACCCUCGGGCAGGCAGGUGCCACGGCUUCUGACCUAUCAACUAGAAUGCGGUAAAAUGGGCUGCAAUGGUCGCAACGGGUACAGAGGAUUAGGGUUCGA
rnacentral:rRNA from 1 species